rnacentral:lncRNA from 1 species
CCCCAUCGCCGGCGUCAUCGGCUCGCUCAUCGCGCGGUGACCUCACCUCACCUCAACUCCGGCGCCGCCGCCGCCGCCGCCGCUGCCCGGCCGCCCGGCGAAAGGAAAAAAAAAUGUAAAUUACCACGUGUACGCACGCACGUAGCCUACGUGGCAAAAUCAACUCGUGCAAUAACAUAACCCGUGUCCACGUCAGCCGCUGCCGAAUCGCUGUCCCCACCAAACUCACCUUCCAUUUGAGCUCCACAGUGUUGAAUUGUAGGUACCAUGCUAUUCCAUCUGGGCCGAGUGUUAACUGCAAGUACCAUGAUUUUUUUAAAAAGUUUUUUGCUUUUAAUCUCCUUUUAAAAUCGUUUUUCAUAGUUGAUGAGGUAAUAUUUCUGAUUCUAUAGAGCACUUCUCAUCAACAUACACAGUGCUCUACACUGGUUCAAAAGCAAUACCCUCGUCUUUUCGCUUUUGUUUGUAAUUAUAAAAAAUAAAUAAAAUUUUAAACUUAGAGUUGAUUUAUAGCUUUUCAUCACAAUUUAUUUUUCAUUAUUUGCUUUUAGAUCGCCAAGAUUAUCUAUACGAAAGUUUUAUUCAUAAAUUACUUUUUAUUUACAAAUAUGUUAUUAGGUAUGAACAUGGAAAUUUCAGUACAAUUGCCUUGGAAAUUUCACGUUGCAGCACAGGAGGAUCUGUCUUCGCCAAUAACUGUACAUACAUGGCGAUCUUCAAUUCAUGGGUAGUAUCUUUGCUCCUUCACAUUUGAACCUACAAAACACCAUUCCAACAGAAUGUAGCCAACUAUUGUUUCCUACUGUACCACGUUCGGCAAACAUAAACAACGGAUUGUAGUGUCG